UACGAAGGGUGCAAGCGUUAAUCGGAAUUACUGGGCGUAAAGCGUGCGUAGGCGGUUUCUUAAGUCUGCUGUGAAAGCCCUGGGCUCAACCUGGGAAUGGCGGUGGAUACUGAGAGGCUGGAGUACGGUAGAGGAAGGUGGAAUUCCCGGUGUAGCGGUGAAAUGCGUAGAGAUCGGGAGGAACAUCAGUGGCGAAGGCGGCCUUCUGGACCAGUACUGACGCUGAGGCACGAAAGCGUGGGGAGCAAACAGG
rnacentral:rRNA from 1 species